rnacentral:piRNA from 1 species
AGAGAGCACGGAACAAAACUAAUGCCCAGC